ensembl:lncRNA
GAAUAUGCAUACAAUAUACAAAUACAUGCACAGUCAGGCAUGCGCUCAUAAAGAUGCUAAAAAUAAAUGUGAACUCGACAAUGUUUUAUAAAAAGGAGAGUGUAUUUUCCUUGUGGAUCCACAAUAUAUCCCAUAAGCUUGUUGUUAAAUGGGGUACAGAUAUUUCUAUGUCACAGAAGUUAAUGUGUUAAGCUGGGAAUGUUUGGCACGUUGUAUGUCUUACAUAAACAGACAUUCAUUUCCAGGUCAUUGUGAGGUCAGAGUGCAGUCUUUCACUCCCAAUGGAGGAAACAUGAUCAGUGAUGUUGGAUAUCUCAGCGCUGAACAACUGGAGAGACACAGAUGGCAGGCCUCACAACACUACAUAAUGAGAGUGUGUGGAAGGACACAGAUCCUGGAACCAAGUCUCAUGUCUGUCUGAAGCAUUACAGAGGCACCCAUACGAAGGAUGAUUGUGGGCCAGGGGUCGACGUUGAAUCAGAUUGGGAUGGAAUGCUCCUGAGAUCAGAGAACAGAGGACAGAGAAGGAGGGGCUGUACCAGGUCAAACUCCAUCAGUUAUUCCCAUCACUACCAUGCCCUUAACAUUUCUAUGUUUAACAAGGAUUUAGAGGAGGAUUCUGUCUGUCAAAGCACAAGAUCAGGACUGUGUUAUUUGCAAAUACAUAAGAGCUCCAUACUACUGCUAAUGAAUGAAGAAUGAAUAUUUGAAUUUGUGUGUGUGUGUGUGUGUGGGUGUGUGUGAUGUUAUAUUAGCAGUUAUACUAGUUCUGCUAUACUAGUUGUACUGUACUUUCCAUUUGUAAUACUGGAUCAAUAUCCAUUGUUUUCAAAGUUCUAAGGGGUCAUGUGACCCAUUAUUUUGGUGUAAGGACAUGUGAACUUGAUCUGGAGAAAGAAUAUACAAAUAAACAUCAUUAAUUGUGGAUGAAUGAUGCAUGUGGC